ACACUUCUCUAUAAGAUUACUUAUCAACCAAACAUGAAAGCGUCAAUUCAAUAAAUGGAUCAACAUAUACAAGAGAUAUGAAAAGUGUAAAUAAGAAACCCUAAAGAAUGCUGCUCUAAAGAACGCUGCCUAAACCCUAAAGAAAAACGAAUUAGAGUGGAUUGAAAGGGAGUUGUAUUUAUAGAAGAGAUGGAAGGCUGAGAUUACAUUGUAAAUGGUCAGAAGACGGCUAGGAUUUAUUCAAUUGCCAAAGGCGGUUAGACAGCUUCAGUUUUACGCGCUAUUAAUUAUUGC
rnacentral:lncRNA from 1 species